GAUGAAGAACGUAGCGAAAUGCGAUAAGUAAUGUGAAUUGCAGAAUUCAGUGAAUCAUCGAAUCUUUGAACGCACAUUGCGCCCGCCAGUAUUCUGGCGGGCAUGCCUGUUCGAGCGUCAUUUCAACCAUCAAGCCCCAGGCUUGUGUUGGGGACCUGCGGCUGCCGCAGGCCCUGAAAACCAGUGGCGGGCUCGCUAGUCACACCGAGCGUAGUAGCUUACAACCUCGCUUUGGGAGUGCUGCGGGUGCUGGCCGUAAAGCGACCUUUGCGUCUUUAGCACUAGGUUGACCUCGGAUCAGGUAGGAGGACCCGCUGAACUUAAGCAUAUCAAUAAGCGGAGGA
rnacentral:misc_RNA from 1 species